rnacentral:lncRNA from 10 species
GGGUACUACUAGCCUUGUAAAAUGAUUUGGGAUUGUUCCUUAGUUAAAUCAGUCAACCACAGAUACUGAAUACCUCAUUAGCACCACAGUUACGAAAAUGAAGAAACCCCGAUACGGUUCAUUUAUCUAUCCUGUCACAAUAACCAAAUUUCCUCAAAGUUAACAUCACUGCUGCUUUCACUGACACCUCACGUAGGAGUCAGGAAACCCGCAAGCAGAUCUCUGAGUCCCCAAGGCAGGCAAAGUGAAGGCGUGAUCCCUGGAGCUGAUCUCGUGUCACUCCAUUUCCCCAUGACUCAUACUUUUAAGUCACAUUGGCUUGUUUGUGACUCUGCUACAGUAACCUGCCUGCGUAUUCCCUUUGAAAUAAGGAAAAUUAUGUGCUUAAAAUGGGCCUCUUCUAUUUUCACACAGAAGUCUUUUCCCCUGCCUCUCUUCAUUCCUUAUUUCUUAACUUAUCACAAAGCUCCUCUCGCCUUAGAACCUGCAAUAUUAAUAUCCUCCUGUAAGGAAAUAAACUGAACCCACCCACAAGGUGAAAGUGCUUUGUGAAACUGUCAAAAUUCUGUUCAUGUCAUUGGCCCAAGUGUAGGUGAGAGAAUAUGACCAUAGAGGGCCUGGACACACAGGGACCUGAGGCAGAGCAGGGCUUCGGAGCCACGUGGAGGAUGGAGAAUGAAGACACCAAGUUUCCAAUAGAGAAUUACCAGCGGUCACCUGCACUCAUGUUUACACAGCAAUGUGCGGAAAUGCAGAAGAAAAGAUCUCCUCAACUACAAAUUUGACUUCACUAAUUUCCCUUACCAAUAUAUAGCCAGCUACACAUUGUUGUUAAAUUAAAACACUUUAAAAAGUCAAAUGGUCGGGCGCAGUGCCAAGGGGCUUCACUUUGGGAGGCCGAGGCAGGCGGAGGUCAGGAGAUUGAGACCAUCCUGGCUAACACGGUGAAACCCCGACUCUACUAAAAAUAUAAAAUAUUAGCCGGGUGUGGUGGCAGGUGCCUGUAGUCCCAGCUACUCGUGAGGCUGAGGCAGGAGAAUGGCGUGAACCCGGGAGGCGGAGAUUGCAGUGAGCUGAGAUUGUGCCAGUGCACUCCAGCCUGGGCAACAGAGCAAGACUCCGUCUCAAAACAAACAAACAAACAAACAAAAAGUCAAAUCGACUUUUGUUAGAUUUUCUUCCAAUCUACCUGUUCUGAUUCUCUUUUAUUAAGCAGACUCUUAGCUAUUUGAUAUGUUCUGCAUGGAAGACACAACCUGAAUAUUUCUGUAUGUUUCUCUUCAACUUCUGAUUUUGCAAUAUUCUUUCCUUAGGGACUUCUUGAAGAGAGCUCACAGGGAAAAUUACUACCCCCAGGACUCCAUCAGAUUUUCAUGUCAGUUAGGAACUUUGGCAGUAGUUUUAA